ensembl:lncRNA
GAGGAGUCGCCCCCUGCUGGUCACUACAGAGAAGUAGAGUCAUUUCCUCAUAGACGUCUAUGGGAGCAGAGGAGUCGCCCCCUGCUGGUCACGCUUUGACUUUCACCAAGUCAUCUCCAAGAAACGACUCACAAACGUUUUAUAUGUCGCCCAAAGUCCCAUUUGAUCGCUUCACGAUCCGGGUCUCGUUGAGGCUCCGCCUCGUAGUCCGGAUUCGGGGAUUAAUCAAGUUUGGAGCGCGACGAUGCAGCAGAAGCACCUGCUGCCCUUUGCUCCGUCUGCUGCCGCUUUCUGGUUGCUAUGCCAACCACAAGGGUUGCUCACGUCUGAGCAUGCUCAGUGCGGCUUCCUUCUCCUCAUAACAAUAGCCAGAGCGAGGGCUCUCUCACACACACACACACUCACACACACUCACACACACAGCUUCAGACGGUAAGUACACAGACCUGCAGAAAAGCAUUGAUCUCCUUCAUGUGAGUCUGUAGCUGCAGAACCAGAGGAAGCAUGUGCUCUUUAUUUAUUUCUUUUAUACAACACCAUUGUUCCACUCCAGGUGUGUGUGUGUGUGUGUGUGUGUGUGUGCGUUGUUUUUAUGAAUGGUGCAUUCUGCUCACUUGGAUGUGUAGUAGUCGACAAAGCAGAGGAGUCGCUCAAUAAUUCAUGUGGAGGGAAGUCAGCAUGUGUAACGCGACGCUUUAUUUCUUACCACGUCCUCCCUUAUUUAUACCUGCAUUAUUAUUCUUUGUUCAGAUCAUGUGACUCUUAAACAGUAGAUCCAGUUGUUAUUAUACUCAUUAUUAUAUUAUCGCUGGAUUCCUGCUGUUGUCUCUGCGUGUAAACUAGAGACGUAACCAUGGCGAUGGGGCUCUAAUCAAUUCGAGCAUGUCAUGUUUGAGUAAAUAGUCAGAGACGUGUCAGUUAUUCAUCAACAAACAAUAAUCCCGCCAGACAACAAAUUAUUAUCUCAGUAUUAAUCCGUCAAAGACUGUCAGACCUCUAGACCUGCAGGCUCCACUUGUAGGUCCUAGACUUGUAGGCUCUAGACUUGUAGGUUCUAGACUUGUAGGUCCUAGACUUGUAGGCUCUAGACUUGUAGGCUCUAGACUUGUAGGUCCUAGACUUGUAGGCUCUAGACUUGUAGACUCUAGCCUUGUAGGUUCUAGACUUGUAGGCUCUAGACUUGUAGACUCUAGCCUUGUAGGUUCUAGACUUGUAGGCUCUAGACUUGUAGGCUCUAUUCUUGUAGGCUCUAGACUUGUAGGUUCUAUACUUGUAGGCUCUAGAUUUGUAGGCUCUAGACUUGUAGGCUCUAUAUUUGUAGGUCUUGGACUUGUAGGUGUUAGAUUUUUAGGUCCUAGACUUGUAGGCUCUAGACCUGUAGGCUCUAGACUUGUAGGCUCUAUAUUUGUAGGUCUUGGACUUGUAGGUGUUAGAUUUUUAGGUCCUAGACUUGUAGGCUCUAGACCUGUAGGCUCCAGACUUGUAGGUCUUAUACUUGUAGGCUCUAGACUUGUAGGCUCCAGACUUGUAGGUCUUAUACUUGUAGGCUCUAGACAGAAGUGUAGACUCAGAACCAGUAGACUCUAGGCUUUUAGACUCUAGACUUGUAUCCUCCUCUUCCCUGAAACCCUGUAAGUAUUGAUUCAGGUCCUCGGAGGCUUGUUAUCAUCAGACUGAUAUAUUAAUAAUGUUAAUAUAAAAUAUUGAUAAACGGAUCUCGAUGCUUCUUCCAUCGGUCAAAUAAAUCUUAGUAGUUACGGGUGAAGAAGAGGUGAACUAGUGUGGACUUAAGAGGUCACAUGAGGCUAAUUCUCCGUAAUCACUGAACCAGUCUGUCUUCCUUAAAAAGAUGCUGGUGUUCUAUUUGCUCCUUUGCUUUGAAGACAAAAGGAGAAGCAGUAAUCUGCUCCAGUGUCAGAGGUCAGCUUCAUUUUGACGUCUGGUGACCAUGUUUUGAGGGAACAGAGCUCAGAGCCUUCAUCAGGUCUCUUCCUCCUCUAUAUAUAUAUAUAUAUAUAUGUAUAUAUAUAUAUCAUCAUAUAUCUAUCUAUCUAUCUAGCUUAUAUAUAUAUAUAUAUAUACUGUAUAUAUGUAUGCGCUUCAUUUCUUCACCUCAUCAAAUGUGUGAGGAUCACAAACCAUCACCUGGGGACUGUAAUCAAUCGGUACCACGGUUACAUCUGGGUGUGUGUGUGUGUCUGUGCCCAGCAGAGUGUGUGUGUGUGUG